rnacentral:rRNA from 1 species
UACGGGGGGGGGCAAGCGUUGUUCGGAAUUACUGGGCGUAAAGCGUGCGCAGGCGGCUUUGCAAGACAGAUGUGAAAUCCCCGGGCUCAACCUGGGAACUGCAUUUGUGACUGCAAGGCUGGAGUACGGCAGAGGGGGAUGGAAUUCCGCGUGUAGCAGUGAAAUGCGUAGAUAUGCGGAGGAACACCGAUGGCGAAGGCAAUCCCCUGGGCCUGUACUGACGCUCAUGCACGAAAGCGUGGGGAGCAAACAGG